AAGGUUGUGGACAUACCAGGUAUCUUCCAUACACAAAUCUGGAGCUUGGGUGCAUCAAACGCUCCAUCUAGUAAUCAAAUCAGAAACCAAACCAGGAAAACAUUCACAGGGUUUCGGGGGAACCAAUGUCUACGCCAAUUUGGUCCGCACACUUUGCUCUCGAGGAGUAAUUCUGACCCAAUAAAUAUCGACGUUAAGUCAUCAAGCCGAUUCAUUACACCUCGCAACAUCUGAUAUGACGAAAAUUUCGACUGCAAAUGCCAGUUCUUUCUUGUUAACGAACCCUCCAUUCGGUUUCUCGAGAUCUCCCCACGGCAUAAAGUUCGGGCGACCGUAGUUGUAAUUUUUGGCAGAGAGCCAACCACUAACUGCAAUGCCCCGAAAGAAAUACUAAUUAGUUCUUUUUAAAAAAAAUUAAUAUCACGAAAAACUUUAAAUUAGUACAUAAGUGACAAAUUUAGCCUAAAACUUAUUUUCGAAUCACAAAAAAAUCCCAAAUUAAUACAUAUAUGGCUAAUUUACCUCAAAUUUAUAUGAAUUUUCAUGUGGACUUGCCAUGUGUUAUCCAACUCAAUGAUUUCAUAGUAAAAUUUAAUAGAAGCUAACAAGUGACCAAUUUGGGGGUUUUUUUGAUAAAUUUAUCGCUAAUGUACUAGUUUAGAGGUUUUGGUAAUAAAAAAAGUAGUUUGAAGAAAAUUUGUCAUAAGUAUAUCAGUUUGAAGUUUUUUAGAGUAUUAAUCUUUUUUUUUUGGGUUAAAUUAUAGAGGUAGCCAUAUCUAAUUAGCAUACUCAUACUCAAUGUGGAACGAUGAAGAGACAUAGCAUUAUUCUUUCAAAAGGAGAUAUUCGUCUGCUUAUCUGGAUUGUUGUUAUGAUACUCAAAGUUUGGGAAGUCAAAUAGAUUGGGCUUUGAGCCCUUUGCAAAAAGCCAUUUGGAAAUUUUCCUUUAAAUAAGAAUGAUAUUCAUUUAUAAAGAUCUUGGAAAAAUUCUGCAUAUUUUUCUUUUUAAUUUGUAUAUAUGGUAAUACUUACAUAUAUAUGCGUAAGCCCGUUUGUGUGUGUAUCGUAAGAGAUUGAUUUUUUUUUUUUAAGAAAAAGAAAUUAAAACUCAAUCUAGACACAGCAGUUACAGAGAAAAAGAAAAGAAAAAACUAGCUGUUUUUUCCUUAUUGUUUUUUUUUUUUUUUUUGGGUCUGAAAAAGAUAAUAUUAUUACUAACGCAUAUUAGAAGUAGCAUUUUGCAUAAUGUUAUAAUACAACAGGUCACGCAAAAACAAAGGAGGGUUGUGAACCCAAUCCGGAGGAAGUAAAGAAGCCCGAUGGGCCUUCGCGGCCCGGUCUGCUACCAUAUUCAUUUCCCUCUUGCAAUGAGCUAUCUGAAGAUUAGGGCAUCGAGGAAGCAUCGACGUGCAUCCUUCAAUCAGAGGUCUGAUUUCCCAUGGUGGCAGAUUAGGGUUUCGUAUUGCCUCCACAAGAGAUAAGCAAUUAGUUUCUAGAUUAAUCCGAUCUGUUUUAUCCUUAUUGUUUCGAGGGUCGUUUUUGUUCAACAGCCGCAAUUUGGCUUUUACAUACAUUUUGAUCCUUAGAGGAAGGCCUGCGCUUGUAACUAAACGGACAGUGACUUCCCCUCCUGCGUCCCAUUGCGCUGGGGAAACACCUUUAACUUCCUACACACGAUAAUCUUAAUUAAAACAAAUAUGAGUUUUAGCGAAUUCUAAAACUUUUCACAAGAGUAUAGUUUUUUUUUUUUUUUGGUAAGUUCACAAGAGUAUAGUUGAAUCCUAAAAUUUUCAAAAAAAAAAAAAAAAGGUGCAAUGAAAUCCUAAAAUUUAUCAUGAAAGUGCAAUUGAGUCAUAAAACUUGUUAAAUUAGUGCAAUUAAAUUCUAAAACCUGUUAACAUUUUCUAAAGCUUGUUAGCAUUUUUCAUUUAUCAAAUUUAACAAAGUUGAUGAGAGAACUUGAAUGCACCAACUUAGCAGGUUUAAGGACUUAAUCAAACUUUUUGAAAUUUUUAUAACUUAAUUAUAUUUUUGAGACAAAUUUUAGGACUUGUCGUGUAUUUAUUUCUGAAAUUUAAAAAGAGGCAAAAGGCAAGUAGCUAAUUCCAUUUCCUCACCAACUUUUUCGUUUUGGGAAUGUACGAAUUCCUCCUUCCGAGGGUAAAGGCGUCGGAAUACUAAGGGUCCUUGUUCGAUGUGGAGAACUGUGGGAUCUUGCAAGUGGUUUUGUUAUGAGGUGGAUCUUUGUCGCGACGUCUCUUUUUUCGGCGCCCGCGAUCGAGUACGAGCGCCUAAGGAGGCUAAUGGCUCGGCUGAAAUUAGUUAUGCCCGAACUCUCCCAAGUCCACCAAUUCACGAAUUUAAUAGUCUAAAUUUUUAACCUGUAAAUCAAUUUUUAAAAUGGAAUCGCCACUAAUCGAUUUUGGGUGGGUUGAUAAGAAACCCAAGUGAAGUAUCAGGAGAAAUACUCACUCCUGCGCAACCAGAGAAAUUAGGAUCAGGGACUUGAUUACACUAGUUAAUCACUAAUGCCCUUUCAGUACCUAAUCUUGUUUAAACGGUUUUUUGGAUGUUCGAGGGAUUUUCCACGUAUUUUUGGGAGGAAUUCAAGUCCAAACCUCUCUCUUUUUCUUUUUUCUUUUUUUCUCUUUUUUCUCCUUCCUUUCUCUUUCUCUCUCCUUCUUCCCCCCAACCAAUCACCGACCGUCGCUGCUGCUGUCGACGAUGGCCAAUGACCAGCUAGGUAAGGUCCGAUGAGCUCGUCGGAGGCUCACCAGGCUAGGGCGAGGUCCAACGGGUGAGCCCAAGCCUCGUCGAUGGUUGGGCGAGCCUUGCCUAGCCCGUCGAGCCUCAUCAGGCUACUGGCCAUGCUUGGCCUCACCCCGGCUAAAGAGGCCUAGCCUAGCACUGCUUGGGCGACAGCGAUGGCCGGCGCUGAUUGGGUAAGGUCCAGUGAGCUCGUCGAAGGCUCACCUGGCCACUAGCGAGGCUCGACCUCACCCAAAUUUGCGAGGUUGAGGCUCAUGGUAGCCAGACGAGCCUCCAAUGAGCUCGUCGAACCUCGCCUAGUUGAUUGCCGACCAUCGCCGGCGCCCGCGACCAACCACAAAGAAGGAGGAAGAAGAAGCAAAAAAGAAGAGAAAAUAAGAAAAAUAUAAUGAAAGUAUUAAAAAUUAAAAGAAACAAAGGAAUUUAAGAGUCCCAUCAAACACUUUCUAUUCCGAGAAUAAAAAUUUUCAAUAGUUACCAAAUGCUUUCAAAUAUUCAGAAAUUGUUCCCAAAAAUAAAAUAAAAAGGAAUCAUUUUUGAGUGAAAAUUGUCCUCGGAAAUAGAAUAGUUACCAAAUGUACCAUUGGUGUUAACUAUUCUCCAUGAAGGGAGAUCUUUCUUCAAAAGCUUUCGCAGUGGGCAAAAUGUUUUGAGAAUUUCUUUCAAAUAAAAUUGUUAUAUUAGCUUAUGAAACAUAUUCUCAUUUGGAAACUUUAUAAUCAAAUAAAAUUUUAAAAAUUUUAAAAGCAAUAGACAUUAAUUAUUAUGACUAACAAAUAAAAUGAAGUACCGGUUCCCACAUAGUUAUACCUACUCUGUUUUGGAAGUACUUGAACAAGUUGAAAAAGGCCCUCCCGACCACUGGGUACGGUAACUUCUGGCAGCUCUUAUUGUCCACUCUCAAAUUGGAUUUUGGUAUUGUUUUCGACAUUGGAAUCAGCAUAAUGUUUUCUAUGUUUCAUGAACUCUUCAUAAUUUUCUUAAAUAUUUAAUUUUUUAUCUAAAUCUAAGAAAUUACAAGUUUUAUUGCGAAAUUUGUUAGCCAUGGAGUUGCACUUCUUGAGCGAUGACAAAUUUGCCGAUGGGUAAUCGCAACUUAUAUGGAGCCAAUAACAGAACGGUGCAGCUGCCCUUUGGAAUAAUGUAAAAAAGCUGAGUCAAAAAAGAGGUUCCGGCUUUAAUGUUAUAGAGAGAUCUUCCAUAAUUCAGGAUCACUCUCACUCACCGUCUUACUUGUUCUUUAAGAUGCCAAUGGGCCAGCGAGGCAUUUAGUGCCUUCAUGUUUCUGAUCUUCUUUAGACAACCAUUUUCUUAAAAGUUUAACUUCGAAUUGCUUGAAUUCAUUUGGAAGAAUGAAAAGGUGAAUGCUUCUAGAAGAAAAAAAGCCAAAAAUUCUAACUAAGCGGAGAUAAGAUACGAGUCAUGUGACAUUAUUUGGAUAAACACUAACUUUAUGCAAGUAUUAAUUUGAUUCUUCACUCAAGAUUUUCCAUUAAACUUUCUUUUGCAAACACGGCGACGUUGGUGUACUUUAUAUUAAUCCUAAUUCCAGUAUUUUAUAAUGAUGUUCUUCUUUUCGAAGUGGGAAUCCUCAUGGCGUCGGUUGCCAAGGUCGUAGGAGUUUGACAGCAUUAACUUCAUAUCAUUCCCUUUAAUGGUGUCAUGAGUUCCUUGAGAACAAUGUCUAUCAACCAAUUUGUCAAUGGACUUUUUCCCCCUAACAUGGUUUCUCACUCAAUUUGAUGGAGUGCAAUUCAACCAAUUGAUGCAUUCGUUGUUGAAUUGUACUAGAGCCAACAAAGAAUCGUCCAAGUUCAAUUCUCCAAAUUCAUACGAGUGGGUAUUUUCAUUUUCCAAACUACACCCGGUUCAAGAAUAGGGUGGGGAAGCCCGGCUGUUUAACAGAAGGACCACUCCGAUUCGGAAGAAGAGAAGGAUGGAUAAUCCGGAAGAGGAGCAAAAAUGUAAGUCUGGACCAGAUAACAGCCACAUUCCCAAGCAUUUAGCAAGGAAACAUGGGCGACGAGUCAAUAGAUGCAUGUGCUGGGAAGACAACCGCAUCUCUGAAAAUUGGACAAAACUAUCAAAAUAAGUACGAUGGCACUAAAUCAACUGGGUAAUCAAAUUGAAGAUAGACCCUUGACUGGUUUAGAAAAUUUGCCACUGUCAAGAGCUGUUCUAACACUGGUAAGUGACACAAGCUGCUCCGACGCUAAUGAUGGUAAAACCAACCGCUACUUCAUGGAGGUGAGUGGGAAACGACCAUUUAAGGUUCGAUGAAUUUAUAUAUUCAAUUCAAGAGAAGUGGUAAGAAUGGGUGAAAACGACCAAGUUAGUCUAUAAUUUUUGAGUUUUCCACUUUGCUUUAUUUUUAUUGAUAGUAGCUGUGUUGCUAAUCAUAUCUUUGCAUAGUGCUAUUAAGUUGUAAUAGUAAAUAGUCAAGUGUACAAGUGUAAGGAUAAUGAUUGUGUCAUGAUAGUGUGAUGCAUCGGUUGAUAGGAGCAACAUUGAUGAUUUUAAUUUGCUUUAAUGUUUACUAGUGGAUUUCAAUCUUGUUGCAACUAUUAGUCUGGAGAAUGGACAUAUGCUUUGGGAUAAAACCGAACUACUAUAAAUCUUAGUAUGUCAUCUUCUAUCUCUUUAUUAUUAGCAUCACUUGUUGAUUAUUAGUAACUGUUCAUCAGCAUCACUUAUGAUAACUUAACCUGUUUCUGCUGAUGCUGAAAUUUAACUCGUUAUGUCCCGCAAAUGUUCUUCGUAGUUCUCAUUGAUUUGUUUUACACUUAAUGCCACAACACCGCGCUCCUUGUGAACGGUCAGUGGCAAUAAGGAACGACCUAUACCACCCUUUCCUGGGGAUCCUCACCGUUGGAACCCUGCCGCCCUUCCAAAGAAUACUCACAAGAGAGCUGCGAGCAGACAUGUUAGCACGCAUGCAAACAUCCUGGCUCUACUACAACACAAGGAAAGAUCGCGACAAACUAUAAAAUGGCUCACAAGGAUUUUAUUAUAAGCAUAGCUACGAUUACACACAGUUCGGAAACACAGAAUAUACUAAGCAAGUCCCAAAGAAAUUACAUACUAGGUAUCUUCCAUACUCAAAUCUGGAGCUUUGGGUGCAUCAAACGCUCCAUCUAGUAAUCAGAUAAGAAACCAAAUCAGGAAGACGACAUUCACAUGGUUUCGGGGAACCAGUGUCAAUGCCAAUUUGGUCCACACUUGCUCUCGAGGAGUAAAUUCUGACCCAAUAAGUAUUGAAGUUAAAG
rnacentral:lncRNA from 1 species